GCCUACGGGGCGCAGCAGUGAGGAAUAUUGGUCAAUGGGAGAGAUCCUGAACCAGCCAAGCCGCGUGAGGGAAGACGGCCCUAUGGGUUGUAAACCUCUUUUGUCGGAGAACAAAACCCGGGACGUGUCCCGGACUGCGUGUAUCCGAAGAAAAAGCAUCGGCUAACUCCGUGCCAGCAGCCGCGGUAAUACGGAGGAUGCGAGCGUUAUCCGGAUUUAUUGGGUUUAAAGGGUGCGCAGGCGGGAGAUCAAGUCAGCGGUAAAAUGUCGGGGCUCAACCCCGGCCGGCCGUUGAAACUGGUUUU
rnacentral:rRNA from 1 species